GNUCCGCCUGGGGAGUACGCACGCAAGUGUGAAACUCAAAGGAAUUGACGGGGANCCGCACAAGCGGUGGAGCAUGUGGUUUANUUCGACGCAACGCGAGAANCCUUACCAGCGUUUGACAUCCUAAGAAGUUUCUAGAGAUAGAUUCGUGCCGGCUUGCCGGAACUUAGUGACAGGUGGUGCAUGGCUGUCGUCAGCUUGUGUCGUGAGAUGUUGGGUUAAGUCCCGCAACGAGCGCAACCCCUAUUGUAUGUUGCUACCAUUAAGUUGAGCNCNCNNNNNNAUACUGCCUGCGAUGAGCAGGAGGAAGGUGGGGAUGACGUCAAGUCAUCAUGCCCCUUAUACGCUGGGCUACACACGUGCUACAAUGGGCAGUACAGAGAGUUGCCAACCCGCGAGGGUGAGCUAAUCUCUUAAAGCUGUUCUUAGUUCGGAUUGUACUCUGCAACUCGAGUACAUGAAGUUGGAAUCGCUAGUAAUCGCAAAUCAGCAUGUUGCGGUGAAUACGUUCUCGGGUCUUGUACACACCGCCCGUCACACCACGAGAGUUGGUUGCACCUGAAGUAGCAGGCCUAACCGUAAGGAGGGAUGUUCCUAAGGUGUGAUUAGCGAUUGGGGUG
rnacentral:rRNA from 1 species